rnacentral:rRNA from 1 species
ACUUGCUUUCUUUGCUGGCGACCGGCGCACGGGUGAGUAACACGUAUCCAACCUACCCUUUACUCGGGGAUAGCCUUUCGAAAGAAAGAUUAAUACCCGAUAGCAUAAUGAUUCCGCAUGGUUUCAUUAUUAAAGGAUUCCGGUAAAGGAUGGGGAUGCAUUCCAUUAGGUUGUUGGUGGGGUAACGGCCCACCAAGCCUUCGAUGGAUAGGGGUUCUGAGAGGAAGGUCCCCCACAUUGGAACUGAGACACGGUCCAAACUCCUACGGGAGGCAGCAUG